rnacentral:tRNA from 1 species
UGUUGGGUGGUGAAAUUUUUGGCAGACACACCUCCUUGUCCCGGUGGCGGAGAUUCUGGAAAACCGGUUCGUCGACAGACGGACAGGCUAACCACUCUGUGGAGGUUCGAAUCCUUCCCCAACAG